rnacentral:rRNA from 1 species
CNCUGCNAGAUAAGCCAUGCAUGUCUAAGUACAUGCCGUAUUAAGGCGAAACCGCGAAUGGCUCAUUAAAUCAGUUAUGGUUCCUUGGAUCGUACCUUACUACUUGGAUAACUGUGGCAAUUCUAGAGCUAAUACAUGCAGCAGAGCUCCGACCUUCGGGGACGAGCGCUUUUAUUAGACCAAAACCAAUCGGGCCUCGUGUCCGUUCUAUGUGGUGACUCUGUAUAACUUUGGGCUGAUCGCACGGGCUUGUCCCGGCGACGUAUCUUUCAAGUGUCUGCCUUAUCAACUGUCGAUGGUAGGUUACGCGCCUACCAUGGUCGUAACGGGUAACGGGGAAUCAGGGUUCGAUUCCGGAGAGGGAGCCUGAGAAACGGCUACCACAUCCAAGGAAGGCAGCAGGCGCGCAAAUUACCCACUCCCGGCUCGGGGAGGUAGUGACGAAAAAUAACAAUACGGGACUCUUUUGAGACCCCGUAAUUGGAAUGAGUACACUCUAAAUCCUUUAACGAGGAUCCAUUGGAGGGAAAGUCUGGUGCCAGCCGCCGCGGUAACUCCAGCUCCAAUAGCGUAUAUUAAAGUUGUUGCGGUUAAAAAGCUCGUAGUUGGAUCUCAGUUCCAGACGGGUGGUCCGCCUACCGGUGGUUACUGCCUGUUCUGAGCAUUGCCGCCGAGAUUGUCCGAUGAUCUUUACCGGUUGUCGUUCGGUCUCGGCAAUUUUACUUUGAAAAAAUUAGAGUGCUCAAAGCAUGCGUGACGCAUGAAUAAUGGUGCAUGGAAAUAAUGGAAUAGGACCUCGGUUCUAUUUUGUUGGUUUUCGGAACACGAGGUAAUGAUUAAGAGGGACAGACGGGGGCAUUCGUAUUGCGACGCUAGAGGUGAAAUUCUUGGACCGUCGCAAGACGAACUACUGCGAGANUUUUUUUCCCAAAANAA